rfam:TPA: Bos taurus chromosome 26, whole genome shotgun sequence.
UCCCUGAUAGCUCAGUUGGUAAAGAAUCUGCCUGCAAUGCAGGAGACUCCAGUUCAAUUCCUGAGUCGGGAAA